AGUGAACGCUGGCGGUAGGCCUAACACAUGCAAGUCGAACGGCAGCACAGUAAGAGCUUGCUCUUACGGGUGGCGAGUGGCGGACGGGUGAGGAAUACAUCGGAAUCUACUUUUUCGUGGGGGAUAACGUAGGGAAACUUACGCUAAUACCGCAUACGACCUACGGGUGAAAGCAGGGGAUCUUCGGACCUUGCGCGAUUGAAUGAGCCGAUGUCGGAUUAGCUAGUUGGCGGGGUAAAGACCCACCAAGGCGACGAUCCGUAGCUGGUCUGAGAGGAUGAUACGCCAAACUGGAACUGCGACACGGUCCAGACUCCUACGGGAGGCAGCAGUGGGGAAUAUUGGACAAUGGGCGGAAGCCUGAUCCAGCCAUACCGCGUGGGUGAAGAAGGCCUUCGGGUUGUAAAGCCCUUUUGUUGGGAAAGAAAAGCAGCAGGUUAAUACCCCGCUGUUCUGACGGUACCCAAAGAAUAAGCACCGGCUAACUUCGUG
rnacentral:rRNA from 1 species